GCCGAUAUAGCACAGUGGCUAGUGCAACGCUCUUGUAAAGCGGAGGUCGGGAGUUCGAAUCUCUCUAUCGGCACCA
rnacentral:tRNA from 1 species